CAUUUCUCGAGAUAGCCAUGUAUGUGCCAAGUUCAACGUUAUACGUGAGACUGCGGACGGGUCACUAAAUCACUGAUAAUCUAUUUGAUUUUCUCUCCCAUUGGAUAACCGUGGGAAAUCUACAGCUAAUACGUGCGGUAUAUUGGUGUGCCUUCGGGUGCAUCAAAGCAUUUAUUAGACUAAACCAUCUACUGUGCCUCUCAGGCACAGUAAGGGGAAUCUGGAUAACUUUGCUGAUCGUAUGGCCUAGUGCCGGCGACGUUUCAAUUGAGUUUCUGCCCUAUCAACUUGUUGGUAAGGUAUUGGCUUACCAAGGUUGCAACGGGUAACGGGGAAUCAGGGUUCGAUUCCGGAGAGGGAGCCUGAGAAACGGCUACCACAUCCAAGGAAGGCAACAGGCGCGCAAAUUACCCAAUCUAGACAGUAGGAGGUGGUAAAGAGAAUUACUAAGUGGUGGUCCAAUGGAUUACCUGUUUGGAAUGAACGUAACUUAAGAAAUUCGAUGAUAAACAACUGGAGGGCAAGUCCUGGUGCCAGCAGCCGCGGUAAUUCCAGCUCCAGUAGUUUGCUUUAAAGUUGUUGCGUUUAAAACGCUCGUAGUUGGAUCACGCAGCAGUGUCGAGUAAUCUAUCGUUCGAAGACACCCGUUCGACUCGUCACGUACGAUCGACAGGAGAAUUUGGCGUUAGAUGUCAACGCCCGACGUUGCUAGUUGCACGCGAGAUAGAUGUUGGCCUUAAAUGUGCCGAUAUUCUCGUCUUGCGGAGUGUGCCUUGAAUAAACAGAGUGCUUAAAGCAGUCGUUGCCUGAAUGUUAUAGCAUGGAACGAACAAUCGUGUAUAUGUGUGCGUCUUUGUACGGUGAUGAAUCUCUGGUUUAUUGUUGUCAAAGAUGCGCACGGCACCCACCAAAAUAUAGCUGUUGGGUUCCAUAUACGUGAUGAUUAAAGAACAGGUGGGGGCAUCAUAUUUGCCGGGAGAGUGAAUUCUUAGACAGGCCAGGACUAACGAAGGCAAAGGAACUUGUCUUUGAUGGAUUCCUUUAAUGAUGAACAACAGUGGAGAGUGGGGGUAGAGGGAGCGGAUGCCGCUAUCAUCACACCGAAAACAUAUGAG
rnacentral:rRNA from 1 species